rnacentral:lncRNA from 1 species
CUCUUUACAUCUUUUUCAGGCCCUAAGUUAAUGGAUUUCACUUACCAUGCUAACAUAGAUCAUAAGUGUAAGAAAGAUAUUUUAAUCGGUAGGAUAAAGAAUGUUGAAGAUAAAUCAUGGAAAAAAAUACGUCCAAGACCAACAAAAACAAAUUAUGAAGGACCAUAUUAUAUAUGUAAAGAUGUUGCUGCUGAGGAGGAAUGUAGAUAUUCAGGCCACUGCACGUUUGCUUAUUGCCAAGAGGAGAUAGAUGUGUGGACACUGGAGCGGAAAGGAGCAUUCAGCCGGGAGGCUUUCUUUGGCGGCAAUGGAAAGAUUAACCUUACUGUGUUCAAACUUCUCCAGGAGCAUCUUGGGGAAUUUAUAUUCCUUUGUGAGAAAUGUUUUGAUCAUAAGCCUAGAAUGAUAAGUAAAAGAAAUAAAGAUAAUUCUACUGCUUGUUCUCACCCGGUUACAAAGCAUGAGUUUGAAGACAAUAAGUGCCUUGUCCACAUUUUGCGAGAGACAACAGUAAAAUACUCCAAAAUACGUUCUUUUCAUGGUCAGUGUCAGCUUGAUUUAUGUCGACAUGAAGUUCGGUAUGGCUGUUUAAGGGAAGAUGAGUGCUUUUAUGCCCAUAGUCUUGUGGAACUGAAAGUCUGGAUAAUGCAAAAUGAAACAGGUAUCUCACAUGAUGCUAUUGCUCAAGAGUCUAAACGAUAUUGGCAGAAUUUGGAAGCAAAUGUACCUGGAGCGCAGGUACUUGGUAAUCAAAUAAUGCCUGGAUUUCUUAAUAUGAAGAUAAAGUUUGUGUGCGCCCAGUGUCUGAGAAACGGUCAAGUCAUUGAACCAGACAAAAACAGAAAAUAUUGUAGUGCAAAAGCAAGGCAUUCGUGGACCAAAGACCGGCGUGCGAUGAGAGUGAUGUCUAUUGAACGUAAGAAGUGGAUGAACAUCCGUCCUC